GACAGAGGGUGCAAACGUUGUUCGGAAUUACUGGGCGUAAAGCGCGUGUAGGCGGCCAACUAAGUCGGGCGUGAAAUCCCACGGCUCAACCGUGGAAGUGCACUCGAAACUGGAUGGCUAGAGUCCUGGAGAGGAAGGUGGAAUGCUUGGUGUAGAGGUGAAAUUCGUAGAUAUCAAGCGGAACACCGGUGGCGAAGGCGGCCUUCUGGACAGUGACGUGACGCUGAGACGCGAAAGCG
rnacentral:rRNA from 1 species